rnacentral:rRNA from 1 species
AGCGCAGGCGGGCGAUCAAGUUGGAAGUGAAAUCCAUGGGCUCAACCCAUGAACUGCUUUCAAAACUGGUCGUCUUGAGUAGUGCAGAGGUAGGCGGAAUUCCCGGUGUAGCGGUGGAAUGCGUAGAUAUCGGGAGGAACACCAGUGGCGAAGGCGGCCUACUGGGCACCAACUGACGUUGAGGCUCGAAAGUGUGGGUAGCAAACA